GACGGAAGGUGCAAGCGUUGCUCGGAAUCACUGGGCGUAAAGCGUGCGUAGACGGUUAUUUAAGUCGGGUGUGAAAGCCCCGGGCUCAACCUGGGAAUUGCAUUCGAGACUGAAUAGCUAGGGUACGGUAGAGGGAAGUGGAAUUUCCGGUGUAGCGGUGAAAUGCGUAGAUAUCGGAAGGAACAUCAGUGGCGAAAGCGACUUCCUGGACCAGUACCGACGUUCAGGCACGAAAGCGUGGGGAGCAAACAGG
rnacentral:rRNA from 1 species